GACGAACGCUGGCGGCGUGCUUAACACAUGCAAGUCGAACGAAGUGGCGAACGGGUGAGUAACGCGUAUCAACCUGCCCUUCAGAGGGGGACAACAGUUGGCAACGACUGCUAAUACCGCAUACUGAAGGAGGGGCGUGCGCCUGAUCAGCUAGUUGGGGGGGUAACGGCCCACCAAGGAGAUGAUAAGUAGCCGGUCUGGGAGGAUGAACGGCAACAUUGGGACUGAGACACGGCCCAGACUCCUACGGGAGGCAGCAGUGGGGAAUCUUCCGCAAUGGACGAAAGUCUGACGGAGCAACGCCGCGUGAGUGAUGACGGCCUUCGGGUUGUAAAGCUCUGUUAAUCGGGACGCGGUACCGGAAUAGAAAGCCACGGCUAACUACGUGCCAGCAGCCGCGGUAAUUC
rnacentral:rRNA from 1 species